UUCGGGAAGCGGUGAUGGAAGAGUUUCUCAAAAUUCUACAAGCCAGCUCCCCAGAGUUAUGGAUCAGCUGAUGCAAGCGUUGUUCUGGGGGUGACGAGAGGGAUACCCGUUUGGUCUAGGAUCUUUUUGUAAUACUAAGGCUGUGACCAUAGUGGGUAAGGUGAGAUGCGAUCGGAUGCGAUAAGUUAUGAGAUGAGAAGAGGGAUGUUAGAUAGGCCAUAGUGCAUGAGGUUUUCAAUAAGGGUGCGCAUGUUGUUUUCACAUCCUUUUUCGCCUAUUUCGUGCGCAUCAACGACUCGUGUGAUUUGAUCGAUGAAGUCGCUUGUAUGUUGAAGCAUCUUCUUUGGAUGUGGGUAGUGAAAAUUUAAUGAUCGUUUUAUCUUUAAGAGCGGAAAGAUAAAAUGCACCCGCUUUUUGUUUUGCGCGGGCCGUUUUUUAUUUGCUAUAACUUAGUCAGUUUUGAUCCUGUUGCAAUAGCAAAAACCGACCAAUUCAAAAAAAAUCUGGUGUAACUGUACAAGAUUGAGAUUAUUGAAUUAAUUAUUUGAGAAAAGAAUGUAUAAAAUGUAAUUAUAUCCGCGUGAGCGAUGUCUUUAUGUAUACACAUAUUUUACUUUCCGAACUGGGCUAUCUCAGUGUUGAUUUCAAUUUUAAUUAAUAUGAGACAGUUAUUCGAUAUCUACUAGAAAAGAUGUCUCUAAUAAGUACACAAUAUUCAUCAUAAGGACUGUAUCAUUAAUUAAGAGUACACCUUUGAGGCCCUGUGUUGAAAAGACUUCACUUAGUCUUAUUUUGACAACUGCUGUGUGUUUAUGUGUUGCUAGCGUUGUAAACAAAAGAUAACCUUCAUUGAAAGUUAAAGUUUUCGUCAAGUGGAGCAACGCGAGUGUUUACGGAUGAGAAGCGAAAAUCGAUUGUGACCAGGUACUGCUAUGGAAAAUGAUUAUCGCUAAGAAGAAAAUUAGGUUGGAGGUGUUAGCGUUUUUUUCUGUCCAAAAUGCUGUCAAACGAUUCGGUAUGCAUAACACACUGAUAGACUCACCCGGAUGCGACAGAAAACCAGGUGCGUCCAAGCCAAAUUUGUACAGAAAAAUUUGCAAAAUCUUCAAAUGAAAAAGGAGGUAUUCAUCAUAGAUUGCGCAAAAAAGUGUGGAACGACUAUUGGUAUGGUUCAGCGCGCCAAGAAACGUAAUUCCCUGAAGACUUACCCAAAACAGAAAUUUCCAAAAAACAGUCAAAUUCUGGCGGAUUAUGUGAAAACUCGGGCUCGGAAACUGUACGACGAUGUUUUGAGCAAAAAUUACAUGUGCAUAAUUAUGGAUGAUGAAACGUAUGUCAUAUUGGACAACAAGGCACUUCCAGGAGCACAGUUUUUCACUGUGAAGCAUGGCACUGAUGUUCCAAAAUUGAUUUUUUGCAAAAAAGUUGGGAAAAUGUAUUAGUUUGGCAAGCAAUUUGUCAAAGUGGUAUGAAAUCGUCACCUUUCUUCGCCGUCCCAAGUAUGAACGUCGAAACAUACCGGAAGGAAUUCCUCCAGAAACCAAUUCUGAUACUCAUCUGAAAGCACAAAGGUCCUACAUUAUUUUGAUCGGAUUUGGCAUCCUGCCACUAUGCGCGUGACACCUUUGACUGGUAUGAAGAAAACAAUGUCCAAUUUGUGGAAAAGGCAAUGUCCUUCAAAUUGCCCGCAAAUUAGGCACAUUAGAAGUAUUUGGCUUUGAUGAAAGGGAAACUACGGCAAAAGGAUAGAGGAGCAGUCAAAUUCAAGAUAAACUGGGCGUCAUCAAAUUCAAGAAAAACUGGGCCAACCCAAGCAAAACCAUCGACGGAACGGUUGUCCAAAACCUUAUGAAGAACACCAAGAAGAAGGUGCGAGAGCUGGCAAGAUCCACGAAAAAUUAAAUAUAAAAUGAUACCAUGGGCUUUUCUGAUGGUCAAUAAACAAUGUUGAAUUUAAUUUACAAAACAAAUAAAACAUUUUCAGAUACAGCAAUUUUCAGGUGUACUCAUAAUUAACGAUACAGUCCUUAUAUUAGGUAAAAGAGUAUCAAUUGAAAUUGAUGUCACACUCUUUUCGUUAAGGGAUCUAGUUUUGCCUGACAAAGAAAAAAGCAGAACUUUUCAAUCAGAAUCCUUUUAGCAAUUAAGUUGAAUACGUUUUAACUUGCACAUGAAUAACAUGCACUGAACAAACGACCAUAUCAAACACUGGUCACUUGAUUCAAAUCCCGAACAGAGAAAAUAAAAUAUUUUCUUAUACACAUAUAAUAACAAAAUUAUGCUGCAAAAACUUAAACGAUUUGAUGGAAUACUAUUUUAUAUGCAAUGAAAUAUGUUAUUUUACAUGGUGAUCGAUAGACAGUAUGAUAAAUUUUUAUUACGUCUGGUCCAUCAAAAUGCAUGUCAUGUGAAAAAGCAUUGAGUUAUGUUACAAAACAACAACAUACUAACGCAUUUUAUAUUACCUACUAGCAUUCCCAACACAUUAAAUCCGCAUUGCUUUACAUACACAACGAGCGCAAUCAUAAAAUCCAUACCCGACAAGCAUUCUCUUGCGUUCUCUUGCGAUCACAUGCGUCGAAGCAGCUCCAUCGCAUAUCCGCACUUAUCGCAACUCAUCUACUAUGUACGGUUCAUGCGUUCUACAUAUAGUUUCCACAGAGUGUGCUUCGACGCUAAUCCGAUCUCUUAUCUCUUUGCAUCGCACCUCAGCCACUAUGUGCUCAACGUAAGUUGCUUGUAGGAUAGAGUACAUGUUAUCGUGCCUGUCCCACGAUAUGCAAAUGUAAAAUUAGUCGUUAGCAAAAGUAGCUAUGAGAAUACCGUGACCGCGCCUAAUUCCAAUCAGCUCCUAAUUCCGUUCACACGAAUCACAACACCGAGUAUUUGUCGAAAUUGUCGCAAAUCUUUAGCAAAUUGAUUUUUGUAAUUUUCAAUAAGUAUGUCCACGCCAGAAUAUAAUCAAAAAGUUAAAGGGUUUCUUGAGUAUUAAUGUGAAAAUACAUUAAAUGCCAUUAAUUAUUCAAUCGGCCGCCAUUCAACUUUUUUUUCUUUUGCGGACCUGUGAAUUGCAUCAAUUCAUACAUUUAAUGUAUUUUCAUUGAAAUAUUAACAAAAUCAAUCAAAAUAGCACCAAAGCAGAACAAUAAAGGACAUGUUUUUAUAAAUUUAACAUCAAAUCAACUUUUCGAAGAAGCAUCAGUCAAGGCUCCCAGACGAUUGAUGUUUGGUUCAUAUCAUUUAUUGGUAACCCCAGCUAGCAAGCAUAAAUUUUGGUGUCGUAGGUUUAAAAUUUAUAGAUGACGUCAAACCCGACAUAAACCUAUCAUUGACCUGUUUUUAUUUUGGUCUCCAAACCCAACAUAGACCCAACAGUUAUGCGAUGUGGGCCCAACAUUGGCCCAACAUUCGAUAAAAUUUGACCCGACUUUGACGCGACAUUCGACACUGUUUCAGUCUGGUGGAAUUUUGUAGUUUUCCCAGAAAGCUCUCAAAAACGCAACAACAUUAAAACAAUCCAAUGUUAUUACUUCAAAUUAUUAUAGAACUAACAUGUUUUGAUAAGUAAAUAAAUGUAUUUCGACAUAUAAAAUAUAAAUAUAACUAUAACAACCUAUGAUAAUAUGAUUAUUUUGUCAACUUGAUAUUUACUUGGAGUGACCGGAAUUAGGAACACAAGUGAACGGAAUUAGGAUCAUACUGAUUGGAAUAAGGAACAACAACUUGUUCUAAAUAGCGGCCAUUUUCAAAAAAAGUGGAGUGCUUGCAACCUUGAUUAUAUUUUUCUAGCAGUAUAGAGACAUAAUGGAACAGCGUUGCACAAUUACAGUCACUAAAUGCAGAACAUGUAUUUUCUACAGCUAUUAGACUUAGUUCAUCGCCUUAAGUGAACGGAAUUAGGUACAGUCACGGUACUGUGAUAAGAUCCCAGUUUGGGCAUAAUACCAGAAAAUAGUAAAUUAGAAGGAAUUUUAUUAUGAUAAAUAACUUGAAACACUUAAAAUUAACUUGAGAAUAUGUAUAUUAUAUUACUUUUCACAAUAGAAAAAGCCUAAUUUCUUUAACCAGUGGAAGUAAGGAUCGCAGUACUAGAUCAAUCAGUUUUAAAACAUUUCAACAGACGCUGCGAUGUCAACGCAAGUCAUUAGAGGUGUCAUUUUAGGAUGUUGUGUACUACCUGGAAAGAACUUUGAAUACGUCGAAAGGAAUGUCUGAAAUAAUAGGACACUUUGAACAAGCGUUGGUUUGAUUGACUUUGAUUUAUAUUUUCCACCAUCGUUCGCCAUUUGGCUACUAAGAUAUUGGAAGCUUUCAACAUUCACCACUGCUUGCCAAGCUACCGUAAAAGUAGCCGGGUUGAUCGUAUUUACAUUCAACGAUUUGGUCUUGUUGACGUUGAUGGUAAGAUCUGCCGCUGAGGAGCGAUUGGCAAGAUCAUCGAGCUUGCUCUGCAUAUCAGAGCGUCGUUGAGCUAGGAGAGCAACGUCAUCAGCCAGUUCGAAGUCAUUUAGGCGCUCCAUGGUAAUGGGCUGCCACAGCCACCUACACACCAAACUUUUUUCGCUGAAAAUCAGCAAAGUUUUGCUGAAUUUUGCCGAGCUGAAAUUUCAGCAAUCCGUUCAGCAAUAAAGAUUUCAGCAAUAUCGACUGUCAUCGUGAAUGACAGAAGUAAACUGAAAAAAUCAGCAAUUUUUUGCGGAUUGCUGAAAAUUCAGUGAUUUCGACCGGCGUGGGGUUUAGCAGCACAUUGCUGGUGGAUUUCAGCAAAUAAAAUCAAAAUAAAAUAAAUCCUUUGAUAUACACAGCUAGUUUAGAUUACCGACUUCGGUAAAAUUUUACUGGGUUUUUGAACUGCUGACUAUUCAGUAUUUUUUUCAAUUAUCGAAGAGUACGUAAAUUGAAAAGUUGAUCAUCUGUCAAAUAAUAACUGAGCUAGUCAGUAAUUUUUGUUGGGGAAAUUUACUGACUUUCAGUUAUUCAUUUGUUUACAGCUGACUACCGAGUUUCCCAGUUUCAUAAUACUUGCCCAUACCUCGCACUCCCUCGCAUUUUGUGUUAUUUAAUCAUUUUUGCAUAGGUACAUUGCGGAUAGUCAUGAAUGCCGGCAAAAUGAUCGUCUUUUUAAAUCUUUGUCAGUUCUUGGGAGGACAGUACAGAAUCUGCGACGGAUUUGCGAAAGUGGUUGAACAAAACUAGAUCCGCGAUGCUGCUGGUGCUUAAGUGUGUAAGGAAAUCAAUCUUUGAACCACACGGGAGAAGCCUCACAUUGCAGUAUCUUCCCUGAUCUAGUCCCGCAUAAUAACCUUCUCCAUGAAUUCGUCGCAGAAUCUGUAUUCCUUACCUGUGAGUUGACGGGAUGAUAAAAAGAUCAAGUCUUCUGCUCCUAUGGACGGCAAAAUCGAGUUCGAUAAGAAUUCUGCUGCUGCUGCUCCUGGAAAAUGAUGGUGAAUGGAUGUUUGACAGCUGCCCGUGAGAGCAGCAGUUUGUUUUCGUUUACAUUGGCGAAAACUCGGUACAGGAGCAAUGAUUACUGAAAAUCGGUAGUUGAUUUCACUGACUUUUUCCCCCUUUUCGGUGUAAUAUGAAAAUUACCGGGUAACGAGCGACUCAAAUAACCGAACUCAGUAAAAUGUAGAACACAUUACCACAGAGAACAGACAUCCAGGCUAGAACAAAUUUCAUUUGGAAAGUUGUGUAAGGAUUUGAAUCUUAACUUGAGUAAGGUUGCAAACCAAUACACGAUGACAACACUAACGCCACCAAACACCAUAUAGUGGUUUCGCAGCGCGGUUUCACGAACACUAAUGCAAAUCUACUGGUUGAAAAUAUGCCCAUUUGAUUUUGCUGGGAACAGCUGAUCUUUGUUUACUAUUUUCAACCAGUAACUCAAGUGGUGUUCGUGUAAUGCAGCGUGUACGUACACGCAACACUACUAAAAGCAAAAACCAUUAUUGCCACAGUCAGUGGUGAAUUGAAACAUUUCAAGUGGUGAAUUAAAAAACUCGUUUGCUGAAGUACAACCAGCAAAUACGCAUUUUACUGAAAAAAUACACAUCACUAAACAAUUUUGCACUUUUAAACAGGUAUGUAUGAUAGUUUAAAUAAAUAACAAUAGGGAAUCGCGCCAUUGGACGGUGGCUUCUAUAUUCGUCUGUUUUCCACUAUAACUCAGUCAAAUUUGAAUUAAUUGACACAACUUUUGGAAUGUGGUGAGAUAGGUAUAGUAUCUACCCGUGUACAACAUUUCAAGUCAAUUGGUUCAAAAUUAACUGGGUUAUACCGGAAAACAGACGAAUAUAGAAGCCACCGACCAAGUGGUGCGAUACCCUAUCAUUAUUUCAGAAGAUUACUUAUUUUAGGUGAUGAACACAGUCCAAGCAUCUGUGGAAUAGACGGCAUCUUCUGAAGCAGCAGCUUUUAUUUACAACCGACAAGCUGACUCAACUUUCACAAAUAGCAUAUUUUAUUAUUUUGAAUAAACCAAUAAAACUGCGGCAAUCAAAUAAGUUUUUGCUUUUAUGUGCAAAUAGUCAAUGUACACACUUAUUUAAGAAUUACGAGUUCGGUAACUAUUUUUACUGGGCUCGAACUGUUAAACAAUGAUUUGGCGACAAAUCAGCAUUUUUGUUUGAAGAGAUACCGAACUUCAGUAAUGUCACAGAGAACAGACAUCCAAGUCCAGUCCCGAAACUGUGUAAAGAAUUUAGCGGCCAUUUGAAAUCGGCUACACAAGUGGCAAUAGCGUGGCGCUGCAAUCGGUUAAUUUCCCAUACUAAUUUAAUUCACCACUUGAAAUGUUUCAAUUCACCACUGACUGUGGCAAUUUUGUGUUUGGUGGCGUUAGUGUUGUCAUCGUGUAUUGGUUUGCCACCUUACUCAAGUAAAGAUUCAAAUCCUUACACAACUCUCCAAAUAAAAUUUGUUCUAGCCUGGAUGUCUGUUCUCUGUG